rnacentral:rRNA from 1 species
GAUGAACGCUGGCGGCGUGCUUAACACAUGCAAGUCGAACGGAAAGGCUCCUGCUUGCAGGGGUACUCGAGUGGCGAACGGGUGAGUAACACGUGGGUGAUCUGCCCUGCACUUCGGGAUAAGCCUGGGAAACUGGGUCUAAUACCGGAUAGGACCGCAUUUUGGAUGGUGUGGUGGAAAGUUUUUCGGUGUGGGAUGAGCUCGCGGCCUAUCAGCUUGUUGGUGGGGUAAUGGCCUACCAAGGCGUCGACGGGUAGCCGGCCUGAGAGGGUGUACGGCCACAUUGGGACUGAGAUACGGCCCAGACUCCUACGGGAGGCAGCAGUGGGGAAUAUUGCACAAUGGGCGCAAGCCUGAUGCAGCGACGCCGCGUGGGGGAUGACGGCCUUCGGGUUGUAAACUCCUUUCGCUAGGGACGAAGCGCAAGUGACGGUACCUGGAGAAGAAGCACCGGCUAACUACGUG